rnacentral:rRNA from 1 species
CACGUAGAAGACUAGUGUUAUUCAUCUUUAUUAGGUUUAAAGGGUACCUAGACGGAAAAUCAAGCCAUAAUAGGGACUAAUUUUCUAGAGUUUUAUGAAAGAAGGGGUCGAAUUUCCGGAGGAAAGUUGAUAUUUUGUGAUACUGGAAGGACGGGUAACGGCGAAGGCAACCUUUUAUGUAAAAACUGACGUUGAGGGACGAAGCC